rnacentral:rRNA from 1 species
GAUGAACGCUGGCGGCGUGCCUAAUACAUGCAAGUCGAGCGAACGGACGAGAAGCUUGCUUCUCUGAUGUUAGCGGCGGACGGGUGAGUAACACGUGGAUAACCUACCUAUAAGACUGGGAUAACUUCGGGAAACCGGAGCUAAUACCGGAUAAUAUUUUGAACCGCAUGGUUCAAAAGUGAAAGACGGUCUUGCUGCCACUUAUAGAUGGAUCCGCGCUGCAUUAGCUAGUUGGUAAGGUAACGGCUUACCAAGGCAACGAUGCAUAGCCGACCUGAGAGGGUGAUCGGCCACACUGGAACUGAGACACGGUCCAGACUCCUACGGGAGGCAGCAGUAGGGAAUCUUCCGCAAUGGGCGAAAGCCUGACGGAGCAACGCCGCGUGAGUGAUGAAGGUCUUCGGAUCGUAAAACUCUGUUAUUAGGGAAGAACAUAUGUGUAAGUAACUGUGCACAUCUUGACGGUACCUAAUCAGAAAGCCACGGCUAACUACGUGCCAGCAGCCGCGGUAAUACGUAGGUGGCAAGCGUUAUCCGGAAAUAUUGGGCGUAAAGCGCGCGUAGGCGGUUUUUUAGUCUGAUGUGAAAGCCCACGGCUCAACCGUGGAGGGUCAUUGGAAACUGGAAAACUUGAGUGCAGAAGAGGAAAGUGGAAUUCCAUGUGUAGCGGUGAAAUGCGCAGAGAUAUGGAGGAACACCAGUGGCGAAGGCGACUUUCUGGUCUGUAACUGACGCUGAUGUGCGAAAGCGUGGGGAUCAAACAGGAUUAGAUACCCUGGUAGUCCACGCCGUAAACGAUGAGUGCUAAGUGUUAGGGGGUUUCCGCCCCUUAGUGCUGCAGCUAACGCAUUAAGCACUCCGCCUGGGGAGUACGACCGCAAGGUUGAAACUCAAAGGAAUUGACGGGGACCCGCACAAGCGGUGGAGCAUGUGGUUUAAUUCGAAGCAACGCGAAGAACCUUACCAAAUCUUGACAUCCUUUGACAACUCUAGAGAUAGAGCCUUCCCCUUCGGGGGACAAAGUGACAGGUGGUGCAUGGUUGUCGUCAGCUCGUGUCGUGAGAUGUUGGGUUAAGUCCCGCAACGAGCGCAACCCUUAAGCUUAGUUGCCAUCAUUAAGUUGGGCACUCUAAGUUGACUGCCGGUGACAAACCGGAGGAAGGUGGGGAUGACGUCAAAUCAUCAUGCCCCUUAUGAUUUGGGCUACACACGUGCUACAAUGGACAAUACAAAGGGCAGCGAAACCGCGAGGUCAAGCAAAUCCCAUAAAGUUGUUCUCAGUUCGGAUUGUAGUCUGCAACUCGACUACAUGAAGCUGGAAUCGCUAGUAAUCGUAGAUCAGCAUGCUACGGUGAAUACGUUCCCGGGUCU